rnacentral:lncRNA from 1 species
CGGGGAAGAAGGGAAGGUGAUGAGCGGAUAAUUUAUACGCUUUUUGGCAUUGUUUUUAGUAUGUUUUUGGUAGGAUCUAGUUACUUUUAGGGAUGUUUUUAUUAGUUUUUAUGUUAAAUUCACAUUUCUGGACUUUACUAUGAGUUUGUGUGUUUUCCUGUGAUUUCAAGUAUUUUCUGGCUGAAAUUGAGGGACUUGAGCAAAAAUCAAAUUCAGAGGUAGAAGAAGGACUGCUGAUGCUGUUGGAUUCUGACCUCCCUGCACUCAAAGUGGAUUUUCUGGAGCUACAGAACUCAAAAUGGCGCGCUUCUAAUUGCGUUGAAAAGUAGACAUCCAGGGCUUUCCAUCAAUAUACAAUAGUCCAUACUUUGGCCGAGUUUAGAUGACGCAAAAGGGCGUUGAACGCCAGUUCUACGCUGCAGUCUGGAGUUAAACGCCAGAAACACGUCACGAACCAGAGUUGAAUGCUAAAAACACGUUACAACUUGGCGUUCAACUUCAGAAGAAGCCUCUGCACGUGUAAACUUCAAGCUCAGCCCAAGCACACACCAAGUGGGCCCCGGAAGUGGAUUUAUGCAUCAAUUACUUACUUCUGUAAACCCUAGUAACUAGUUUAGUAUAAAUAGGACUUUUUACUAUUGUAUUAGACAUCUUAUGAUUUUUAGUUCAUCUUUGAAUCAUAUUGAUCACGUUUGGGGGCUGGCCUCUCGGCCAUGCCUGAACCUUCAUCACUUAUGUAUUUUCAACGGUAGAGUUUCUACACUCCAUAGAUUAAGGUGUGGAGCUCUGCUGUUCCUCAUGAUUUAAUGCAAAGUACUACUGUUUUUUAUUCAAUUCAACUUAUUCUGUUUCUAAGAUAUUCAUUCAUACUCCAACAUGAAUGUGAUGAACGUGACAAUCAUCAUCAUUCCCCCACGAACGCGUGCCUGACAACCACUUCUGUUCCACCAUAGCUUGCUUCAUACCGACAAUCUCCGUGGGAUCGACCCUUACUCACGUAAGGUUUUAUUACUUGGACGACCCAAUGCACUUGCUAGUUAGUUGUAUCGAAGUUGUGACAAAUCAUAAAUUAAGAUUAGAUCACCAAGUUUUUGGAGCCAUUACCAGGGAUCAUAAUUUCGUGCACCAGAAGGAAAGGGAGAAGACUGCGCUGGCGCAUUGCCUCCGUCACCACCAUUGAAGGCUCCAACGCCGCCGCUGCUACCACAGUCGCCAUCAUCUGUUGCAUGUGCGAGAGGAGAGAGAGAGCAAACAAGAUAGAGGGAACGGGAAGAGACACGAUAAGGAGGGGAAGGAGGAGACCGUUCCUGCUGCCGCCGGACUGUCGUCACCGCCACUGCUAGGGUUUGACUCCGUCAUGUCCUGCUGCCACCAGAGUUAGCCUCUAUUAGAGCUGUUGUUCUGCCAUCGUCAAACUUGAAAGAGGA